CGCGUUUCCUGUCGCUCAGAGCUUUUUAACAUAGCGUUAUUUUGUAUUUUUCCUCACUCGUUGCUGUGCGAUUUUUGCUCCUUUUAUUGUCUGCAAAUGCUAGAGUCUGCUACAAUGAUUUACAUAGACCUCAAAUCAGAUGUAAAACCAGGCUCUAGUGAAACCAUGAAUGGUGCACAAGGAAAGUAAUUCAAAGGAUCGAAAGGCAAACCUUCAAAUCCAGAUGGCAUGAAGUAUCCGCCCAACUAGAAAAAAUAACCGAUUCUUGAGGGGAGUGUAAAGACUGAAAAAUAUAUGAAGAUUGUGAUGGAAUAAGAAAUUCACACCUACUGCACCGACCACACAUGGCUUUCGCACGUCAGACAUGGCUUAAAAAGAAAGGCCAGAUGAACAGAAGUGUAUAUGUAUCAUUUUAAUAUAUAAGGCACUAGGUUGUAUUAAUAAAAUAAGUAAUAAUAUUAUGUAAUAAUAUUUAACAAGUUCUAUUAUAAACGCUUAUGCUACUGUGGAAGAUUUAUGGUUUGAUGAAUUUCUUAUGAAAAUUCACCUCUGCUCUUAAUGAUUUUAGCUCUUACAAUUGUUAAUGUUUCUAAGAAACCAAAGACAUACAUGAUGUUUCUUGACUUGAGAUAAUUUUUUAUGAAAAGUUGAAGAUACUGUAUUAAAAGGCAGAAGACAGAAACCUAUGGGCUUGUGGGUGAAUUUAAAUCUAUAAUAUUAUAAUUUAUUGAAAAAUCCGUGUUGAGAAAAUAUUUCAAAUGUUUUGGUGUUUACAAUGAAUAGUUUUCUUAAAGUGUCUUAAAUUACAACUUAUUUUUGGACAACAUUUAUUUUAUAUUAUAACACGGCUCAUUUGAAUGCUUGAUUCUGAUUGCCUAGUUGCAACAUUUGCAGGUUCCUUUUUUUCCCAGAUAACAACCUCAAAAACCAAUAACGGACGGUAACCUGGAUGCAGCCAUUCAUUUGACAGUUUUUUUUGACAAAUUAAACAUAAAUAUGUCUUUUAUUAACAUAUAUGACAGUAUAUUUACAAAUUGUUAAACCAAAUUGCCUGUUAGUGAUAUUUGAACGUUGUUUUAUUACCUUUAACUGAAAGUAUAUGGCUUUUCCUCGCGGAAGGUCUACAUCCGGUAAAAAUUAUCUAAUAAAAUAUAUAAAAUUCA